GAGUGAUUUCCCUCGAUGGAAUUGCACUGACGGUGUUUCUUACAGGAUUCCUAAACUUUUAAAUAUAAAAUGAAGAGUUUUUUUUUUUUUUUUAAGUCAGGAGUUUGUAUUAAGCAAGUACAUUGGUUAGGAUAAUUUGGCUUUUCUUUCUCCACUGUUAAAAGUGCACUUAUAUGCUGGUUAAUUUACGUCUUGGGGGAAAAAAAAGACUGCAAAUUCAAGGGGCAAUUGUUACUAUUUCGUUUUUUGUUUCUUUUUGGGUUUUGUUUUUUUAAGGUUAAGGCAGAUUUUAAGACUUAUAAAUGUUUAAGAAAUUAUAAACAAGGUUAGAUCCUUUGGGGGGAAAAGUUUAGAAGAUAUUCUUAAAGUAAAUUUUUAUAGUGUUAAUUUUGUAAUAAUUUAUGUUUUACUAUAUUACAGAGCUAACUGACCAGAAUAGUUUCAGAAACAAUAUGAAACUUAGGAAAGUUUAAGCAAUGUUUAUAUUUUUAAAAUGUUCUUUGAAUUAUGUUUUUAUUGUACAUUUCUUCAGACUCAAAAGUGUGUACAUAUCUUUGUUAUUUUUGCACAAUUUUUGUCUUGUUCGGUUUUAGAUGUCGUUUUAUAUAUAAAUAUAUAUAUAAAUACAUAAUUUAUUUUGAGUUGUAAAACUUGCAGGAUUAAAAACAAAACAAGUCUCAGCAACAGAAUAACCCUCUGGUCCGUAAACUCUUCUGCUCAAAAGAGGGAAAAUAAAGGGUGAGAGGUGACAUAGCGGCUUGUGAGAAUCAGCAGCUCCUUAGAGACCUAGGGAGCAAGCAGGCUUCAGCAUGGUCUGCGCGGAGCCGAGCUGUGCUGCGCAUCCGAAGCCGCAAGAGAGAGGCUUUCCACGCAAAGCUACUUCCUUGAGUGACUGCUUUGACCAAAAGGUGAGGACAAUUCCAGAAAACUGAGCUAAAAGGGAAAAACCCACGGUAUUUCUUCCUUCACAAGUCAUCCCCGCGUUUACUUUCUGAUAUAUUAAAUGCUUGCAGCUAGGGGGGAGGGGAAUGGAAUGCAAAGAAAAGAUUUCCUUUGGAUUUGUUCUCAUGGAAUUCAACUGGACCAACCCCUAACGCAUCCGGAGAGCGGUACCCUUCGGGUCUUUCUGUACCCCACACCCACUCAGCCUUCUGUCUCUGCCCCUUGGCCGCUCACACCCCCAGUCCACCGGGGAGCUCCUGACACGUCGCCAGCCACAGAGGCUCUGGAUGUUAAGCAUAAUGCAAUGCAUAGACCUGUCAGCCAUAUAAAAUUAAAAAUCAAAAAAUCGAGUUGGAUAACUUGUAUGCCUUCUUUUGUAUCGAUGUACCAACUGUAAAUAACGCUGAUCAACCUUUGUAGAAAAUAGUUUAUACAGCGUAUUCUAUUAUUGCUGAUUCUCAGUGAACUCUUGUUUUAAAAAAAAAAAAGGAAAAAAUGAAAUUUUCUAUUUACACCUUAUAUUUUGUUAUGCUGUCAGCCCAUGGCACCUUAACAGAAUUCUGUGGGUUUUAUGUAGCUGGUCAGUCAUGGGGUAAAUUCAAUAACUAUUGUUGCACAGACAAGAAUUUGCACCUGUUCAUUUGUCCUUUCCUACUAACCAAUUUUAGAAGCUUUUCCAGAAGAAUUUUGAAGAGAGCAUGUCCAAUCAUAUUCAACAAAGGCCACACUCAUGGAGUGGGUUUCUUUUCUAUGAUCCAUAUUUUGUAACACUAAGUAUUUUCCUCCUUUGUCCCGCCCCUUUAUACCUUUAUGAAUUAGCGCUAUCAGAUAGAGUCCAUUCCAUGCCUGUGAUGUUGUAAGCGGAUAAAUGUCCGACAUAGGUGUAAAUAGUAAACUCUAUGGCUUACAGUUGUUAAAAGAAAGAACAAAUACGUAUCUAUUGAUACUCCCGUGGUUCAGCACCAGGUCUGGAAAUAUUCUCCAGUAAGUGAUUGUAUUUUUUUUUUUUUGCUUUUUUUUUUUUGUAACAUGGCUUUGUAAAUAAAAUAAUUUAUAUGUUUGU
rnacentral:lncRNA from 1 species